GUCAACGGCCAUACCACAUAGAACUCACCCGGUCUCGUCAGCUCCCGGAAGUUAAGCUAUGUCGGGUCCCGUUAGUACUUGGAUGGGUGACCGCUUGGGGAAUACGGGAUGCUGUUGGCA
rnacentral:rRNA from 1 species